AUUGAACGCUGGCGGCAGGCCUAACACAUGCAAGUCGGGCGAGCGGAGGAAGGGUGAGUAAUGUAUGGGGAUAUGCCUGAUGGCGGGGGAUAACUAAUGGAAACGGUAGCUCAUACAGCAUACCAUCAGAUGAACCCAUAGGGGAUUAGCUAGUAGGUGAGGUAACGGCUUACCUUAGCGACGAUCCCUAGCUGGUCUGAGAGGAUGAUCAGCCACACUUGGACUGAGACACGGCCCAUACGCCGACGGGAGUCAGGAGUGGGGAAUAUUGCACAAUUGGCGCAAGCCUGAUUCAGCCAUGCCGCGUGUAUGAAGAAGGCCUUCGGGUUGUAAAGUACUUUCAGUCGGUAGGCGUUACCGACAGAAGAAGCACCGGCUAACUCCGUGCCAGCCGCCGCGGUAAUAC
rnacentral:rRNA from 1 species